UAUCUCUGUAGAGUCUGCAUAUCAAUAAGCGGAGGAAAAGAAACUAACAAGGAUUCCCCUAGUAACGGCGAGUGAAGCGGGAAGAGCUCAAAUUUGAAAUCUUCAAGGUUUGACCUUGACGAAUUGUAGUUUAAAGAAGUGUUUUCGGUUAGAGGAGUAGUAAAAGUUCUUUGGAAUAGGACAUCAUAGAGGGUGAGAAUCCCGUAUUUGACUAUUCUUUCUAGCUUUGUGAUACACUUUCAAAGAGUCGGAUUGUUUGGGAAUGCAGUCCAAAAUGGGUGGUAAAUUUCAUCUAAAGCUAAAUAUUGGCGAGAGACCGAUAGCGAACAAGUACCGUGAGGGAAAGAUGAAAAGAACUUUGAAAAGAGAGUUAAACAGUACGUGAAAUUGUCAAAAGGGAAGCGUUUGACACCAGUGUUGUUUUUCCGAAAAUCAAUUAAAAAUUGAUUCAUGCCAGGUUGUAUUGACCUUAUCAGCUUGCAAUUUGGUUUUGGGUCUCUUUUUGAUGCACUUUUCGGUUAACAAGUCAACAUCAAUUUCCUUUGCUGUAAAAAGGUAAGAGGAAGGUGGCUUCAAUUUCGGUUGGAGUGUUUAUAGCCUUUUAUCUCUGCAGUCGGAGAGAUUGAGGUCUGCAGCGUAGAUCCUUCGGGGCUAGAUACAUUUAUGCUAAGUUAUAGCUUUUCAUAGACAACUUGUUGACUAUGUUUAGUCAUGUAGCUUACUCGUAAGUGCUAUCUUACCUACGCUUAGGAUGUUGAAGACUCUACAGAGAUA
rnacentral:rRNA from 1 species